rnacentral:rRNA from 1 species
CCUACGGGAGGCUGCAGUGAGGAAUAUUGGUCAAUGGGCGUAAGCCUGAACCAACCAAGUCGCGUGAGGGAUGAAGGUCCUAUGGAUCGUAAACCUCUUUUAUAAGGGAAUAAAGUGUGGGACGUGUCCUAUUUUGUAUGUACCUUAUGAAUAAGGAUCGGCUAACUCCGUGCCAGCAGCCGCGGUAAUACGGAGGAUCCGAGCGUUAUCCGGAUUUAUUGGGUUUAAAGGGUGCGUAGGCGGCCUUUUAAGUCAGCGGUGAAAGUCUGUGGCUCAACCAUGGAAUUGCCGUUGAAACUGGGGGGCUUGAGUAUGUGUGAGGCAGGCGGAAUGCGUGGUGUAGCGGUGAAAUGCUUAGAUAUCACGAAGAACCCCGAUUGCGAAGGCAGCCUGCCACGCCAUGACUGACGCUGAUGCACGAAAGCGUGGGGAUCAAACAGGAUUAGAUACCCCUGUAGUC